GGCUUUGUAGCUCAGCUGGUAGAGCCCUUCCCGCAUGGUGUGUUUGUCGCUGGUUCGAAUCCAGCCGAAGCCC